GAUGAACGCUAGCGGCAGGCCUAAUACAUGCAAGUCGAACGGGAUCCAGAUCAAAGCUUGCUUUGGUCUGGUGAGAGUGGCGCACGGGUGCGUAACGCGUGAGCAACCUACCCUUGUCAGGGGGAUAGCCCGGCGAAAGUCGGAUUAAUACCGCAUGACAUCAUUGAGAGGCAUCUUUCGAUGAUCAAAGAUUUAUCGGACAAGGAUGGGGCUCGCGUGACAUUAGCUAGUUGGUAAGGUAACGGCUUACCAAGGCUGCGAUGUCUAGGGGCU
rnacentral:rRNA from 1 species